UACUCUGGUUUCUCUUCAGAUCGUAUA
rnacentral:piRNA from 2 species